AUGGCCAGCCCCAGGUGUGUUUCCAGGGUACAGACGACCAAGGACAGAGUAGAAGGAAGUCACUCUGACCACCAGAAAACAGCCAAGGGAACUCCUGAGGCUUUUGCUACACGACUGAACAGGUUUGGGGCCCUCCAGAUACCAAUGGCAAAGAGAACGCUUUAUGGGGAUUUCUAUGUGGAACGUGACUCCUUUGGAUCUUCAGUAAGCCGCUUUGCAGUGCCGCCCAAGGAUGACAAGAAGAAGAAGGAUGCUGGAAAGUCGGCCAAGAAAGACAAAGACCCAGUGAACAAAUCUGGGGGCAACGCCAAAAAGAAGAAGUGGUCCAAAGGCAAGGUUCGGGACAAGCUCAAUAACAGUCUUGUUUGACAAAGCUACCUACGACAAACUCUGUAAGGAAGUUCCCAACUAUAAACUUAUAACCCCAGCUGUGGUCUCUGAGAGACUGAAGAUUCGAGGCUCCCUGGCCAGGGCAGCCCUUCAGGAGCUCCUUAGUAAAGGACUUAUCAAACUGGUUUCAAAGCACAGAGCUCAAGUAAUUUAUACCAGAAAUACCAAGGGCAGAGAUGCUCCAGCUGCUGGUGAAGAUGCAUGAA